rnacentral:hammerhead_ribozyme from 1 species
GUCCGGCUGACGAGUCCCAGGUAGGACGAAAGGAGCGUCCUAGAU